UUUUAUAAUUAAAUAGAUAUGUAUAACCGCUCAAAUAAGGUGAGCAAGUUUCUACCCCAUGACCGUAAAUUUUGGGACUACAUAACAC
rnacentral:ncRNA from 1 species